rnacentral:lncRNA from 1 species
AAAACAGUCAUCCAUAAACAGUCAGCAAGAAAACAGUCAACAAGAAAACAGUCAACAAGAAAACAGUCCACACCAAAACAGGCAACAAGAAAACAGUCAACAAGAAAAUGCUGCUCCCCCGUGUCGUUCAGGAGCCCAAACAAAGUUAGCGUGCUACAAUAUCGGACAGUAGAAACCAACCAGAAAGUUCGGAAAAUUGUCUGAAUCCUCCUUUGGCCACGACUGCCGACACAAGCAAGAAAACACUCAAACAUAAACAGUCAGCAAGAAAACAGUCAGCAAGAAAACGUCAACCAUAAUCAGUCAACAAGAAAACAGUCAACAAGAAAACAGUCAACCAUAAACAGUCAACAUCAAAACAGUCAACAAGAAAACAGUCAACAUCAAAACAGUCAACAAGAAAACAGUCAACACCAAAACAGUCAACAAGAAAACAGUCAGCAAGAAAACAGUCAACCAUUAACAGUCAACAUCAAAACAGUCAACAAGAAAACAGUCAACAAGAAAACAGUCAGCAAGAAAACAGUCAACCAUAAACAGUCAACAUCAAAACAGUCAACAAGAAAACAGUCAACAUCAAAACAGUCAACUAGAAAACAGUCAACAAGAAAACAGUCAGCAAGAAAACAGUCAGCAGGAAAACGUCAACCAUAAACAGUCAACAUCAAAACAGUCAACAAGAAAAGUCAACAAGAAAACAGUCAGCAAGAAAACAGUCAGUAGGAAAACGUCAACCAUAAACAGUCAACAUCAAAACAGUCAACAAGAAAACAGUCAACAAGAAAACAGUCAGCAAGAAAACAGUCAACAAGAAAACAGUCAGCAAGAAAACGUCAACCAUAAACAGUCGACAAAAAAAACAGUCAACAAAAAAAACAGUCAACAAGAAAACAGUCAACAAGAAAAUGCUGCUCCCCCGUGUCGUUCAGGAGCCCAAACAAAGUUAGCGUGCUACAAUAUCGGACAGUAGAAACCAACCAGAAAGUUCGGAAAAUUGUCUGAAUCCUCCUUUGGCCACGACUGCCGACACAAGCAAGAAAACAAAGUAAAUACCGGAGACUCUGGAGGAAUAACGGGCGCUUAAAACGGAGGUAGACCGGACAAGAGCUAAAAAGCCGGGUCAACAUAAACGAUGGGGGACGCUUGGGGAUCUUGGUGACCCUGUAACCUUUCUGCUGGACAGGUAAACCGCUUUAACAAAGUAAGACAAGUGUCUGUAACAGAAGUGUUUCUUGUCAAACGGACCUGCUGUAGCGUGUUGUAGCGCCAUCGCUAAACUGUCCUCCCUCGGGUCCUGGACUAUG